UUUGGGAGCAUUCACAUUACAAUAUUUGGUUGUAUUCAAAUUCGGGAGAAAAUAUUGGUUGCUAAGAGGUUGAGAAAGAAAAAGAAAAAAAAACUUUAAAAAAGGGAAAGAAAAGAAAAAAGAAAAAGCAUUGAAAAAAAAUAGCAAAUAAAUUGUGUGGAAAAAUGUAACAUUUUAGCAAUAAUAAAAAGGUGAAUGAAAUUUGUGAAUGCUUAAGAUUGUGAGAAAUGAUCACUCUCAUUUGAUUAU
rnacentral:lncRNA from 1 species